CGAGAAAACCGCUUGCACCGUCAGCAUUUCCUGGUUUCCAUGUUUAUCUCAGCUCUGAAUAAUGUGCGUACGCCGGCGUAUUCAUAAUACAAGAGAGAAAAUUUAGUUCGAUUGACCUAGCGCCAAAUUGAUGUGACAAACUAAAUUUUACGAUCGCAGAGUCAGACAAUAAUUGCACCCUGGAUACUUCCAGGAUAAAAGUUUAACGGAAACAUCGAGCACACACCGAACUCUAUACUAGCUCUAAUGGGAUUCUAAUGGCAAGAAACGUAAGUUCACUAAGUAUGAUCCGACAAUUGAUGGAGCCAGCAAUCAAACCCCGCAAGAAGCAAAGUUCAACCAGUGUACGUCGAUCCUGUACAGAUGAGAACAAAUGAUUGCGAAUCAGAAUGAGAGUACCUAUCCAAUAGGUGGGUAUAUCCCAAGUGUAACAACAUAAUAUCGAUGGUGUUCUCGGUUUUCGUAGAGAUUUUUUUUCUCCUGGGCUUUGCACAAACGAGAUAAACUAGGUGCAAAAUAGUAACAACCCAAACAGAAUACAGCAUUUGCUGAAUUUAUAAAAACUUACUUGACUGGUAUUAUUCACAAAGGAAGUGAAAACUAGCUUUCUAUGAUUCACACUAGGGUGAAAAUAUUUAUAUGGCGAAUAUGAUUAUAUAGCUCACAAUCCAGUCAAGUCAGAAUUUUAGCCGUUUAGAAGCAGAUGAACAUAGACUUAAUAAUAACAUUGUUUCAACAAUGAAACGGUCAAGAAUUAGCAAUAUUUAUGCCUAUUUACUUAUGAGCUUCCAAAUAAACUGUAAUUAACAUUAAAUUUUCUCUGCUUAGUUGAGAAAUCGCUUCUAACUAACAUUAGUAAGUAAUUAUGAAAAUGAUCCUAAAAAUAACAAAAAAGUUUAAAAUUGCUAGUGUAAAACAAUAAUUAAGUUAGUACAAAAACACAUUUAAAAAUCAAGGAAAUUGUACUUUAGGAAUGAUCUGCAAGAGGUUAUAUGAUAUAAUAUUUUGGACUAAUAUUACAAUUUUCCGAUCAUUUCAUUUUCAUGAAUUGAUGAUAGCAAUAAUUCAAAUUAAUAAACUAUACACCAUACAUAUCGUUCCAUUUUACUGUUUUUCAGUCAUGCAUAUGAUAUAUAACAAUACUCUUAUUGUUGCGCUUAUAUUAUCAACACAUAUUGAAAAUUGUGUAUUUCGUUGGUAGUUUCCAUGAAGGAAUAAGUGCUCUAGAUUGGAUUCUGCUCAAACCAAAGCAAUAAUUAGAAUAUCCAGCGCUACAUAAUGCGAAUCCGAUGCAGAUUGGACUGAUGGGACUUUGGUUAAUUUCCCGAAGGUCCACUUUAAUUGGAAAUAUAUGGGAGCAACAAACAACAGUAGCCAUACGUUAAGUCCGUGAGUUAAGGGUUUUUGAAUUUUCUGCAGUUCGUUUGCUGUUUCCAUAAUUCAAAAACGCUGUUUCGUAAUAAUCUGCACGUUCAAAGUUGAAACGUUUAAUUAACAUUUUUCUGGAACCUUUCUUAAUUAACAGUUGUGGAAAUGAAAACUAAUGCAAUUAUGUUGUUUCCGGUUAUAUUCUGGUUAAGCUGCAUUUUAUUUAAUAUUUUGGAAUAAUGUUAAUUGAGUCAUUGUUCAUUUAACUCCUGACAUAAUAGUAAUAUUUUCUUGAGAUGCUUUAUAUUCCUCAGUAUUGAAAACUUUUGAGAUCCGUCGGUUAGCGCAGAAAAUAAAUUCAAUUAAAAAAACUUAAGAAGAAAGUUUUGUUUUCCAACUUUUAUUCGCACUGCAGCACUCUAUUGAAACUGCUUAAAAGCAACUCCCGGAUUAUUAAAACCCCUCUUUCUUGCUUAACAUAUUAUUAAGAAUAAAAUGAGUU